rnacentral:rRNA from 1 species
ACACUCCUACGGGAGGCAGCAGUGGGGAAUUUUGGACAAUGGGCGAAAGCCUGAUCCAGCCAUGCCGCGUGCAGGAUGAAGGCCUUCGGGUUGUAAACUGCUUUUGUACGGAACGAAACGGCCUUUUCUAAUAAAGAGGGCUAAUGACGGUACCGUAAGAAUAAGCACCGGCUAACUACGUGCCAGCAGCCGCGGUAAUACGUAGGGUGCAAGCGUUAAUCGGAAUUACUGGGCGUAAAGCGUGCGCAGGCGGUUAUGUAAGACAGUUGUGAAAUCCCCGGGCUCAACCUGGGAACUGCAUCUGUGACUGCAUAGCUAGAGUACGGUAGAGGGGGAUGGAAUUCCGCGUGUAGCAGUGAAAUGCGUAGAUAUGCGGAGGAACACCGAUGGCGAAGGCAAUCCCCUGGACCUGUACUGACGCUCAUGCACGAAAGCGUGGGGAGCAAACAGGAUUAGAUACCCGGGUAGUCCCAUG